CUGACUUCGACCAGGGAGCAGCACCAGGAAUGCUCUAACAUGUAGAGCUUGCAAUGUUUCUAACAGAGAGCGUACUCUGACUGCUUUUGUUCAAUCUGAGGACUUGGAUUCUGCAGAGUAACGAAACUGAACACUGAGCUUUCAUCUCCAGCUUCUUCCACUCCUCCAAGUCCAUCUAAGCUUUCUUUGUUUCACAGUGCCUUUGCAGGCACUGGUGGGUUGCAAAGCUGUUAAUCACCAUGAGGAAAAUACCUUGGAUCUCCCACAGCCUUUGUGCUAACCUGUUUCCCUAGAGAAGUCUGAUGCACCACCCUUUUCUUUGGGGUUGAGACACUGCCCUGCAUCCUGUACUACCCAACCUGCAAAUGCCAGCCUGAAACAACAGCACAUCUCACCAAUCAUGGGGUACGUGUAUUUAAAAAGGAACACGACCUCUCAUCCACUCAGCAGGCACCAACUGCAGCCUGUGAAAUGUGCCUGGCAUACUGAUUUGAGUCACGUGCUGAAAACCUUAUCAGUCCUGCUGACUAUUUUCAACACCUUUUGGAAGCGCUUCAUUACUGUGCAAACAGCAAGAGCUUGUUUGGAAAGCCUCAUCUGGGAUGCAGACAUGCAUCUUUCAUGAAACAUGACUCCAGUUGCCAAGAGUAGAAGUGACCACUGUUAACAAACUGCAGCUCCUGUUGAAAAGUCUUCUGUGUCAUCCAUCAUCUUUUCUAUUUAAAAACAGAAAAUACUUUUCAUCUCCAGGGGCUUAGGAUGUAAGCACAGUAGGUGCAUCAGCUAUUAUCCAACUGAUACUAGUUUUACAUCCAGGAGAUCCAAAUUCGGUGGAGUAUUUUAAUCAUCUCACUAAUUUUGGACUAUUCUCCAACAGGCACAGAAAAAACCCCCUUAAUUAUUGCCUGAUACACAUUGCUUAAGCAGUCAUUAUACAUUUAUUUGCUUUCGCUAUUUUUUCAUUUGAUUUAAGAAGUUUAUUUUUUAAGAAGUAAAAUAAUUAAUUUAUCUUAAAUUAAUUUAAGAAGUUUCCAUUUGUUUUAGAAAGUUUUAAAAAACAUUUACUACAGAUCAUUAACUGUUUGACAGAUGUCUACUCUUUUAAAAGUAAUCAUACAGCAAAGAAAUGGGAACUAUGUAAUAGCACAUAUUUGCUUCUAGUCAAAUCCAGGAUCAAUUACAAAAUGCCACUCUAAAUAUCUUGAUGGUAAAGAAACAGUUGUAAAACACAGAGUGUUUCUUUUUAUAGCAAUUAAUUUCCAUACCUUGACAAAUCAAAAAGUAUUUUAAUAUCUAUUUAGAAAUACUAUUUUGCUAUUUUCUCUCCUUUCUAAGUACUAUGCAUGGUAGUUCUGAACUACCUCCUAAAUGGUUUACACAUACAAGCAGAUUGCAUCUUCUGUUUCUGGUGGUCCACUGUAAAAUCCUGCAAGAAUUAUCUACUUCUGAUUAUCUCAUCCAUUUAAUUCCUGCAACUUUCACUGAUUUUUCUGUGUAUGGACUUGUUUUU